CACACGAACAGCCACGGACGUCCUGUGUGUACUGACAGACAGCCACUUACAGCCACGGACGUCCUGUGUGUGCUGGCGAACACCCACGGACGUCCUGUGUGUACUGAACAGACAGCCCACGUGGGCCAAAAUCACCCAAACUGUAACGACCCGGAUUUUCAAAUCGGUUUGGUUUUCUCUUCGUUUAGUUAUAAUAUUAAUCUAAACCGGUUUGGUUAAAUCUAAUUAAUUACCACAUCCUUCUUUAUAUUAAACGCAGCCGUAAUAUGUCUAUAUCGACAUAUAUAUUCUUUUCCUUGUAACCUAAAGAAAAGUGUAUGCAAAGCCGCCUCUUCUCUCAUUGUUAUUCACGAUCACCAUCUCCAUCUUCUCCACUCUUGUUCACGUUCACUCCCAUCUCUAUUCCUCAUCACUUGUGUUACUCUCUUCUUCUCCUCCAUUUUAUUCAUUUGUUCGUGUGUUGUUGACCGAGAAGACGUGACGUAUCCACCAACGCUAGUCAUCUUCGGAGCCAUGUCCUCCACCAUCAACCACCGUGAGCCAUCCCACCGGAGCCAGCGCCUUCACCGAAGGAGUGGCCCGUGUUACUUAUGUACAAGAGAUCCGUUUUCAUAGUGGAGAAGAGAUGUACGAGCCGGAGUCAUCGAAUCUUGACGCCACCGGCACAGAUCACCACGACCGGAGCCGUUUCAAUCUGAUGACUAGCCGUGAUCUUCAACAGUGAGUCACCGGUGAGGGCCAUGCACUUUUGGGGCUGAGAUCCGCCACUACGAUUCCAAGCCGUGAAGGUUAAAAGAGAUUAUAUUAAUUUCUUGUGCUGCAAGUUUCAUAAUUAAACCCUAGAUCUAUUAUAUGAUAUUUAUAUCUCCUAUUUCGCGUCUGUUAUUUUCCGAUCUGGUCUGCCAUUGUCGAGAGCUCGAGAUCCAUGGCGAUAUCCUAGCUUUCUUGCUAAUCAAGUUAUCACAUUUAUGGUUGGAGCCAUUUUCGGUUUUCCGAUAAGGCAAAUGUGCGCUUGCCGAUGGUUGGAUAUCUGGACGGUUUGGUGUCUUUGGGAUAAUUUAUUUAUUUCGGUUUUGAUUACUAAUUUAUACGAAUUUUAGAUUCGAUUUAUUUUGAUAUAUUUUUAUACUUCAAUUUAAAAAUGUAUUUCUUUGGAAAUUAUUUUAUUAAAUGUUAUGUUAUUUUGUCCGAUUUUGAAUAAUUCGGUUUAAUUCGAUAUUUCACCGGUAGUAACACGCCGUUCUCGAGAGAGGAGGAGACGGGUGUUACAAUUUCGUAUCAGAGCGGGGUUCCGUCCCGGCUCUGACCCGGGACGGCGAUUUAUGGGACUCGGAUUUCAAAGAUUUUCAAUGUUUUGGGAUUGGGAGUUUAAAAAAAGAAAAAACUGGACACCCUUCAGUCCAAUAUCUUUCGGUUAGUGUAUAGUGUCUCUUACUCUUUUAUUUUUGCAGGAGAAACCAAGUUUCUAUUUGUUUCCUUUGUUCUGUAUCUCGUGUUCUUCUUUCCUUAGUAGCUAUUGAGGUUCUCUCUGAGUUUCGUCUCGAAUUCGGGAUGAAUUCCAAUUAAGUGGGGAAGAAUUGUAACGACCCGGAUUUUCAAAUCGGUUUGGUUUUCUCUUCUUUUAGUUAUAAUAUUAAUCUAAACCGGUUUGGUUAAA